GACGAACGCUGGCGGCGUGCUUAACACAUGCAAGUCGAACGGAAAGGCCCUGCUUUUGUGGGAUGCUCGAGUGGCGAACGGGUGAGUAACACGUGAGUAACCUGCCCUUGACUUUGGGAUAACUUCAGGAAACUGGGGCUAAUACCGGAUAGGAGCUCCUGCUGCAUGGGGGGGGGUGGAAAGUUUCGGCGGUUGGGGAUGGACUCGCGGCUUAUCAGCUUGUUGGUGGGGUAGUGGCUUACCAAGGCUUUGACGGGUAGCCGGCCUGAGAGGGUGACCGGCCACAUGGGGACUGAGAUACGGCCCAGACUCCUACGGGAGGCAGCAGUGGGGAAUAUUGCACAAUGGGCGGAAGCCUGAUGCAGCAACGCCGCGUGCGGGAUGACGGCCUUCGGGUUGUAAACCGCUUUCGCCUGUGACGAAGCGUGAGUGACGGUAAUGGGUAAAGAAGCACCGGCUAACUACGUG
rnacentral:rRNA from 1 species